UACGUAGGGGGCAAGCGUUGUUCGGAUUCAUUGGGCGUAAAGGGUGCGUAGGUGGCGCGGUAAGUCGGGUGUGAAAUCUCGGAGCUUAACUCCGAAAUUGCAUUCGAUACUGCCGUGCUUGAGGACUGGAGAGGAGACUGGAAUUUACGGUGUAGCAGUGAAAUGCGUAGAGAUCGUAAGGAAGACCAGUGGCGAAGGCGGGUCUCUGGACAGUUCCUGACACUGAGGCACGAAGGCCAGGGGAGCAAACGGG
rnacentral:rRNA from 1 species